GGUGGUUCUCAGGUGACGCACCCCCGAAUUGGGCUCCCUCCUCUCUGGUUCUGGGUGCAUCACUGGAGAACUGCU
rfam:Myotis lucifugus cont2.6608, whole genome shotgun sequence.